rnacentral:rRNA from 1 species
UACGAAGGGGGCUAGCGUUGCUCGGAAUCACUGGGCGUAAAGGGUGCGUAGGCGGGUUAUUAAGUCAGAGGUGAAAUCCUGGAGCUCAACUCCAGAACUGCCUUUGAUACUGAUAGUCUUGAGUAUGGGAGAGGUGAGUGGAACUGCGAGUGUAGAGGUGAAAUGCGUAGAUAUCAAGAGGAACACCUGAGGUGAAGACGGGUUGCUGGGCUGACACUGACGCUGAGGCGCGAAAGCUAGGGUAGCAAACGGG